AUCCAGCUGAGGAGUCCCAAAUAGGACAAAUUGCGCGUCCUGGAU
rnacentral:hammerhead_ribozyme from 1 species